rnacentral:rRNA from 1 species
GACGAACGCUGGCGGCGUGCUUAACACAUGCAAGUCGAACGAUGAAGCCGGAGCUUGCUCUGGUGGAUUAGUGGCGAACGGGUGAGUAACACGUGAGUAACCUGCCCUUGACUCUGGGAUAAGCGUUGGAAACGACGUCUAAUACCGGAUACGAGCUAGGACCGCAUGGUCACUAGCUGGAAAGAACUUCGGUCAAGGAUGGACUCGCGGCCUAUCAGCUAGUUGGUGAGGUAACGGCGCAACAAGGCGACGACGGGUAGCCGGCCUGAGAGGGUGACCGGCCACACGGGGAGUGAGAAACGGCCCAGACUCCUACGGGAGGCAGCAGUGGGGAAUAUUGCACAAUGGGCGCAAGCCUGAUGCAGCAACGCCGCGUGAGGGACGACGGCCUUCGGGUUGUAAACCUCUUUUAGCAGGGAAGAAGCGCAAGUGACGGUACCUGCAGAAAAAGCACCGGCUAACUACGUGCCAGCAGCCGCCGUAAUAC